rnacentral:lncRNA from 1 species
CCUUUACUGUUUAUCAGAAUGUAAAACAAUUAAAUAAAAAAAAAAAUUCUGAAGUAGGCAAUAUUUUCUAAAAGAAAAAUGUAAAUUAGAUUAUCCAGAAAGUGUGGAGCCAGGAAUUCAAGUCUAACUGACCCAAAAGCCCACAUUCUUUCACCAUAUCAUGCCACCUGCCCAUAUGGUGUUGAGGGCACAAUUUGUUGAGAGACGUCACACACAGUGCGGAUAGCUGUCUUGGAUAUUAUUUUUCUUCAGAUCCCAUCAACUCUAUAGCAGAAAAACCAGCCCAGAUCAAAGUCCUCGCUACAUAUGAUGACUCAAUAUCCCACACAUGUCCCUUUCUUUAUUGUUUUAACCACAAUAAAGAGUUCAGUGUAAAUGACUUUCCUCUGUGAGUGCUUUAAAGCUGAAAUGUUACUAAAUUCUUAAUUUGGAGGAGGCAUGACUGCAUUCUGAAUGCUGGCGUGAGCUGUGGCUAGAAAAUACCCGGAUGGACGGGGAGCGUAACUUGGAAGGAUGCACUAGUUUCAGUUGAUUUUUCAUGCUGCUCACAGAUUAUUUUGGCUAUACUAGGAUCUUUGCAUUUCCACAUCAAUUUUAGAAUCAGCUUGCCAACUUUUGCAGAAUACAGCAGACUGCAUAUGUUGACCUUGUCCCCUGCAAGGACCUGCUAUGUAAUUUGCAGGGUCCAGUGCAAAAUAAAGCUGUGGGACCCUGUCUGCAAAUUUCAAGAUAGUGACGGCAAUGCAUUAAACUAAGUGCA